UACGUAGGGUGCAAGCGUUAAUCGGAAUUACUGGGCGUAAAGCGUGCGCAGGCGGUUAUAUAAGACAGAUGUGAAAUCCCCGGGCUCAACCUGGGAACUGCAUUUGUGACUGUAUAGCUAGAGUACGGCAGAGGGGGAUGGAAUUCCGCGUGUAGCAGUGAAAUGCGUAGAUAUGCGGAGGAACACCGAUGGCGAAGGCAAUCCCCUGGGCCUGUACUGACGAUCAUGCACGAAAGCGUGGGGAGCAAACAGG
rnacentral:rRNA from 1 species